UCUUCAAAGACCAUGGAAUGCAGUAGAUUUUAAGGAUAUGCAUUUUACAAAAGGAAUCCACACAUGAGUGCUCAGGAGUCACCAGGCAGAGAAAAAGAAGGCCUUGGAACUCCCUUAAUUCAACUGGGCUGGUACUGAAGUGCAGUCUUCAUGGGAAUGAACUGGGAGUCUUUCAUCUGAGAAAAAGUACACCUUCUUGGCGUCUGUAGCUUUGCCACU
rnacentral:lncRNA from 1 species